rnacentral:rRNA from 1 species
UGGGGAAUUUUGGACAGUGGGCGAAAGCCUGAUCCAGCAAUGCCGCGUGUGUGAAGAAGGCCUUCGGGUUGUAAAGCACUUUUGUCCGGAAAGAAAUCCUUGGCUCUAAUACAGUCGGGGGAUGACGGUACCGGAAGAAUAAGCACCGGCUAACUACGUGCCAGCAGCCGCGGUAAUACGUAGGGUGCAAGCGUUAAUCGGAAUUACCGGGCGUAAAGCGUGCGCAGGCGGUUUGCUAAGACCGAUGUGAAAUCCCCGGGCUCAACCUGGGAACUGCAUUGGUGACUGGCAGGCUAGAGUAUGGCAGAGGGGGGUAGAAUUCCACGUGUAGCAGUGAAAUGCGUAGAGAUGUGGAGGAAUACCGAUGGCGAAGGCAGCCCCCUGGGCCAAUACUGACGCUCAUGCACGAAAGCGUGGGGAGCAAACAGGAUUAGAUACCCUGGUAGUCCACGCCCUAAAACGAUGUCAACUAGUUGUUGGGGAUUCAUUUCCUUAGUAACGUAGCUAACGCGUGAAGUUGACCGCCUGGGGAGUACGGUCGCAAGAUUAAAACUCAAAUGAAUUGACGGGGUCAUAGCUGUUUCCU